AUUUAUUCACGGUAAGGUAGAAGAUACUCCUGAAAACAGCCAUUACAUUAGUAGAGAAACUCUUUGAUCUACAAUUAAAAAAAUAAUAAAUUAUUAAUUAAACAUGGAAAAUUGUCAAAAUGUAUAGAAAAUGUUUGAAUUCCUUCAAAAUGAUCUGGGGAAUUAUGACUUAUGACCUGAAUAUUUCCAAAAUUCUGACUAAAGCUCUGUUUACAAUGCACACACGUGUGUACACAUACACACAGAGGUGCAAAAAAAACUACAAAAGCCCCUUUCACACAGAGAUUCUGCAAUACUGCCGUGAAGAAGAACCGCAGUUACGUCAGCUUUGCUUAUUCACACUGAAGCAGACAGCGGCGGCAUAAUGCUGCCCCAGUGUCAUAUGAAAGGAGUCAAACAGUGUGUGUGA